UACGUAGGGGGCUAGCGUUGUCCGGAUUUACUGGGCGUAAAGGGCGCGUAGGCGGCCACCGCAAGUCGACUGUGAAAUCUCCGGGCUUAACUCCGGAAAGGUCAGCCGAUAACUGCGGGGCUAGAGUGCAGAAGGGGCAACUGGAAUUCUCGGUGUAGCGGUGAAAUGCGUAGAUAUCGAGAGGAACACCUGCGGCGAAGGCGGGUUGCUGGGCUGACACUGACGCUGGAGGCGCGAAAGGCUAGGGGAGCGAAACGGG
rnacentral:rRNA from 1 species